CCCACACCUGUUAUUGAAAGUGGUUUUUUUUAGCAUGUUAUACAGUGCAGUGGAGUGUGGGAAAGGGAAGUGAGUGCCGAAGUAGAAAGCCAGACGCUUCCAUCCAGAAAACGUGAGUGAGCUCCACCAAAAAUUCAACUUGAUUGGAAAAGACCCAAACCAAAGGCACUUGUGUCACAUGUGGAGACGAUAUCAGGCUUCGAUGGAGUAUGAACAAAUGCACAUGAUACAUGCACAUAGUCUCGGUCAAAGUGGGACUGAGAAGUUGCCCAAGCACAGAGGUUUGUUCGUCAGGAUAGGCCGGGAGUGGACGGAGCAGAAUUGAACCCAAGUCCAAGCACUUCACCCCGAAGAGAUUCAAAUUGAUGACGUGAGCAGAGAAGCAGCCAGUGAGGCUGCAGACCCAGUCAGAGGGAAGAUGAUGUGUGGACAAUAACUUCGGCAGGAGGAUGCUGCCGAGCUGUGGCGGGUUUGUACGCUCCUUGCAGCUGCUGUGGCAUCCAGACUGACUCCUGGAGAAAUGCAAUCAGCAGGUUAGUGGAGAGAGACGGGGCCCGGAUCACAGAGAGGGCAUCACCCAGCUAUCACAGACACUGAACAGAUACGAUAAGGAGGAGAUCCUAGAUUAGCGAUCCUGGACUGGACUUGGACUGAUCCUGCCUUUAAUAAACUUCCUUGCAGUUUAGACUGUUUUGCAUGUUCAGUAACCAUCUGUGGUAUGUGGUUUAGGAUAUUGACUGAAAUCUUGUGCUCUCUGUAAUUACGUGAACAAGUUUUGUAAUUACAGUAAUUGCUUAUGGCAGUAAACAGUCAUGUCAUUGAAUGAUGCAAGGUUGGGUGUGGGUGCAUGGUACCCUUCGAUUGAACAAAGCAUCAAUAUCUCACGAGGAUAUAGAGUCUGAGAAAAUUCAUAGCAGUGUUGUCUUCAUGACCUUUGACAUCAUGCAUUCUCUCCUGCCUAUCCUAGGGUCAAUUUUGUGCCACUUUAUUUCAAGUGACUUGUAUUCCAAUAUUUUCUACAAACCCGAUUUCGUAAGACAGAAAUGUCUUGAGUUUAAUAGGGUUGCUUUAAUGCCUAAACAAAAUAACUAGCCUUAUCAGUUUUUAUUUAAAACAACAGUUCAAAAAUCGUCAACUUUUGCAUUUUUGCCUUUUGCAAUUUUUGUUCCAUGCAGUACUAAUUCCAUGUAUUCAACAGUUUGGCUCUACAUGUGCUGGUAUAUAUAUAUUUUUUUGGCAUGAAGCAUGAAGCAUUAAACAUUUUGAGUUUUCCAUUACAAAAAAAUAAAUAUCUUUAGCUUCUUAUCAAAGCAUCAUCCCAAUUGUAAAAUCAGUGAUUAACUCGUUGUUAAUUAAAUAUUUAUAUAGAAUUUUCCAGUCGAAAAGAAUUAAAAUGACAAAUGCUUUGGAACUU